AUUGAACGCUGGCGGCAUGCUUUACACAUGCAAGUCGAACGGCAGCGCGGGCUUCGGCCUGGCGGCGAGUGGCGAACGGGUGAGUAAUGCAUCGGAACGUGCCCAGUAGUGGGGGAUAGACCGGCGAAAGCCGGAUUAAUACCGCAUACGACCUGAGGGUGAAAGCGGGGGACCGAAAGGCCUCGCGCUAUUGGAGCGGCCGAUGUCGGAUUAGCUAGUUGGUGGGGUAAAGGCUUACCAAGGCGACGAUCCGUAGCUGGUCUGAGAGGACGACCAGCCACACUGGGACUGAGACACGGCCCAGACUCCUACGGGAGGCAGCAGUGGGGAAUUUUGGACAAUGGGGGCAACCCUGAUCCAGCCAUGCCGCGUGCGGGAAGAAGGCCUUCGGGUUGUAAACCGCUUUUGUUCGGGAAGAAAUCCUCUGGGCUAAUACCCCGGGGGGAUGACGGUACCGGAAGAAUAAGCACCGGCUAACUACGUG
rnacentral:rRNA from 1 species